rnacentral:tRNA from 1 species
GCCCGGGUAGCUCAGCGGCAGAGCGCUCGGCUGUGGACCGAGAGGUCCCGGGUUCGAAUCCCGGCCCGGGCC